UCGAGAAAUUUAAAGUAAUCAAGAAGACCGGGAGUGAUACAAUUGUGGCCAAUGAUGAAGGAGUUCGAUAUCGGCGACCUGUAUCUCAUCUGAUAAAGUGGGGCGGCAAAUCAUUAGGAUCGACCUCUGGUGCCCCACGUGAAGAUGAAACACAAAUACCACUUCCACCAGUUGAAACAUCAAUUCAGGAUCAUCCUAUGAGUGAAGAGAGUAAGCUGGAAACGAAUAAUGGAAACAAUCAACUGAAAGUCAACCGUCCAAAACGGAUUCGGAAGUUACCAAUACGAUACAAUUAAGGGAAAAGGGAUGUAGAGUCAUCGAGAUGUUUAACCCCAGCUUUCCUUAUACUAUCACGUGAGCGGGGAGACGACAGUUUGAGAGAGCGAGAGACGAUGACGAACGGUCACUACAGCAAGCGAACGAGAGGAUUGGUGCAAACGGAUAAAGAGUGUAUGAGUCAGUGAUUUACGAAGCUUUGACAGGAUCGGUCGCGAAAUAAAGUAACUUGUUGGAAAGUA